CUUUCCCUGCCUUGUUGGUGCAUGGUUUGUAUUAAGUUUUGAACCUACAAUCAAAACUUUGGGAGCUGUCCCUUAUCAUGGCGUGCCAUGGUAAUAUGGUUCCUCCCUAUUUAUAGGGUUCAAUCCUGUCGAGCCACACGGCAAAGGUGGGGAAAUU
rnacentral:other from 1 species